CGCAGCAUGAAGCCACACGGCGGCUGGAAGACAUCCUGUGGCACUCGGCCCGGCAGAGCUGACCCCAAGAGCAAAGCCCACUAAUGAAAACAUUCCAAGUCGCUUCCAAGUCCAGGGCUCUGCUCUGUGGGCAAACCGAGCAGCACGGAGGCCCAAGACUGAUUCAGGUGUACUGGAGACCAUGGUCACAAAGCAGCAUGGUGAACAGGAGGGAUGCAAGACAGCCACAGGGCCCCCAACUCUGGCCUGUGACCGGGGCCACUCACAGGCUGGAGAGAAGAGCCUGGGGAAACCAGAUGUCUACCUGUAGAAGAAUGAGACCCUCUCACCCUGCACAGGCCGACUCAGAGUGGACCAAAGACCUCACACGAAACCCAAAACUUUGGAAGAAAACAUGGGGAAAUGCUCAAGACCCAGGAACCCAGCCCAGGACUCCAGGAAGCAGGAGCGAGAACCCAGGUCAGAGCACCAGUGAGUGCACACCUAAGGGGACACCGGUGGAGAGAAGUGGGAGGGAGAGCUGGCCAGCGGGUCCUCUGCAGCGGGUGAGAGUGGAAUAGAUAAAGGACUAAAACAUAACACUGGCCAGUCAGCAGGCAAAUGGAAUGAACAGAUGCUUCUCGAAAGACCUAUGAGUGGCCAAUAAGUAUUUGAAAAAGAUAUUCCACAUCAUCCACCAUCAGGGAAAUCAAAUGAAAACCACAUUGAGACUCCAUCUCACCCAGCCAGAAGGGAGGCUCCUCACACAGUUAGAAAGACAGCCACCAUGGACCCCACUAUACCACACGGAGGAAUUAAAGCCACCAUACUGUAGAGAUACCAGCAUGCCCAUGUUUAUCAUGGUACAACUCACAUUAGCCAAGUCACAGGAUCAGCCCAGGUGUAUGUGAGUAUAAAGAAAAUGUGGUGUAUAUACACAGUGGACUAUUAUGCAACCAGAAAGAACGAAAUUGUGUUGUUUGCAGGGAAAUGAAUGGAAUCAGAGACCAUCAAGUAAAGCCAAAUGAGCCAGACACAAGGACAGGUAUCACAUGUUUUCCUGCACAGGUGGGAUCUGGGGGAUGACAGGAAAGUAGCAGGGAGACUAUCAGAGGAGAGGAAGGAAACCAGGGGCUGGGGUGGCUAUGGCCACAGUACAUCAUUUGCAUGUAUGUGUAUGCCACAACAAAAC
rnacentral:lncRNA from 1 species